GGGAGCUCUCCCAUAUGGUCGACCUGCAGGCGGCCGCGAAUUCACUAGUGAUUAGAGUUUGAUCCUGGCUCAGAACGAACGCUUUCGGUAUGCUUAACACAUGCAAGUCGAACGGAUUUAUUUAGAGCUUGCUUUAAAUAAAUUAGUGGCAGACGGGUGAGUAACACGUGGGAAUCUGCCCAUCAGUACGGAAUAACAUUUAGAAAUAAUUGCUAAUACCGUAUAUUCUCUUUGGAGGAAAGAUUUAUCGCUGAUGGAUGAGCCCGCGCCAGAUUAGGUAGUUGGUAGGGUAAUGGCCUACCAAGCCAAUGAUCUGUAGCUGGUUUGAGAGAAUGAUCAGCCACACUGGGACUGAGACACGGCCCAGACUCCUACGGGAGGCAGCAGUGGGGAAUAUUGGACAAUGGGCGAAAGCCUGAUCCAGCAAUGCCGCGUGAGUGAUGAAGGCCUUAGGGUUGUAAAGCUCUUUUACCCGGGAUGAUAAUGACAGUACCGGGAGAAUAAGCUCCGGCUAACUCCGUGCCAGCAGCCGCGGUAAUACGAAUCGAAUUCCCGCGGCCGCCAUGGCGGCCGGGAGCAUGCGACG
rnacentral:rRNA from 1 species